rnacentral:rRNA from 1 species
AAUCAACGCUGGCGGCGUGCCUCAGACAUGCAAGUCGAACGCGAAAGUCCCCUUCGGGGGACGAAGUAGAGUGGCGCACGGGUGAGUAACACGUAGGUAAUCUACCUUCGGAUGGGGAAGUAACAACCGGAAACGGUUGCUAAUACCGCAUAAUGCAGCGGCACCUAAUGGUGACAGUUGUUAAAGCGGGGGAGUCGAAAGACCUCGCGUCUGAAGAGGAGCCUGCGGCGGAUUAGCUAGNGGUAAGGUAAUGGCUUACCAAGGCGACGAUCCGUAGCCGGCCUGAGAGGGCGGUCGGCCACACUGACACUGACAUACGGGUCAGACUCCUACGGGAGACAGCAGUCGGGAAUUUGGGUCAAUGGGCGAAAGCCUGACCCAGCAACGCCGCGUGAAGGA